UCGAGAAUCUUCGGCAAUGGGCGCAAGCCUGACCGAGCGACGCCGCGUGCGGGACGAAGGCCGUUGUGUUGUAAGCCGCUGUCAGGGGGGAGGAAAUGUCAGCCCUCAGGGUUGGCUUGACCUAUCUCCAGAGGAAGGACGGGCUAAGUCCGUGCCAGCAGCCGCGGUAAGACGGACCGUCCGAACGUUACUCGGAAUUACUGGGCUUAAAGGGUGCGUAGGCGGCUUUGCAAGUCGGGUGUGAAAGCCCUCGGCUUAACCGAGGAAUUGCAGUAGAAACAGCGAGGCUCGAGGAAGAUAGAGGUGGACGGAACUUGCGGUGGUGCGGUGGAAUGAGUUGAUAUCGCAAGGAACACCGGAGGCGAAAGCGGCUCACUGGGUCUUUCCUGACGCUGAGG
rnacentral:rRNA from 1 species